UUCAACAUUUUAAAAAUGAGAGAAGAAAAGGCUGAGUCAAGACGGCAUACUAGGAGGACGUGGAAUUUGCGUCUCCUCACAACAAUGGCACCUACCAGACACCGGUGGGGGACCAUGGUCACCUAAGGGAACAGGAGGAACCCCCAGCGAUGGGAGUUGAGAGGCUGACUGAAGAAGUAAUGACAGAGUGGAAAAUGAGACAAGCAGGAGGAUUGAUGGAAUUUCCAUAGUUAUACAGAAAGGGAAUGGAGAAAGUCCACAGGACAUAUUGAAGAAAUGGUCACUAAUUCAGCAAGGUCAUCAAGAUAUAUAAAUCAGAAAGUAUCAUUGUGGACUUUUUUUUUUACCAGAGUAAGAAAUCUCGAUUUUCUUCAAUAAGCAGUAAGUAGCCUUAUAAAGCUUUUGAAAAAUAUGACAUAAUAGUAGUUGUUUCUUAAGAUACUAAACCUAACAAAAAAUUCCUAAAAGGUUCAAUUCUUGAAAUCUGCAUAUAUUCAUCAUGUGUUGAUUUAACCCAAUGCUUUUUCCUGGGCUAGAGAACCGAGAGAGGCAAAGGUAACAGGGGUUACUCUAUUUGAAUUAUUCAGUGAGAUGUUAAUAAGGGACUGAACUAAGUGGCAGCAGGACACAAUAGAUGAAAGAGGUAUAACUGAUUGAUUGGACUUAGCAAAGGGUUAGAGAGGAGCCGAGAACAUCUCUUAAGUAAUUGGUAAUGUUAAGGGCAAAAAAGGAAAUUGGAGUUUUUUUAAAAGAUGAGAGAUAUUACAGCUUCUUUAUCUGCCAAUGGGAAUGACAAGAUAAGAAGAAAAAAUGGGUGCUGCAGGAGAGAAGGGUCUCUUACAGGAGCCAUGUCCUGUGGUAGGCAGAAAGGAUGGAACCCAGUGCCUUUAUCAAGGCCCUACCCUUAGAUAGUGUCACUGGGAGUUCCUCCAUCAUCACUACACAUGUAGAUGGGUAGAUUUGGAGAUGUUCCUGUGCGACUGUUCCCUUCUGAUUGUUUCUAUGUUCAAAUAGCAUGCAAGUUUGAUAGCUCAAAAAGAAGAGAAUGGUAGAAAUGGAUGUUUGACAAAGAAGAAGAAGUGAAAUAGUCAUCUAGGAGAGUAAGAGACAAUUUAUGAAGGAAAUGUAAAGGGUUGCUGGACAGAGCUAGGAUCCAACUUGAGGAUAAUGCUCAUUUACUGAAGAUCAGGGAAUAUUGGUGUACACUUUUCUCCAGACAUGAGUAGAUGCAAAAGAGGCUAAAAAUUGAAUAUGACCGGAGUUGGGUUUUGCAGGCAUAUAAGAAGAUGCAAUGGAAGGGGCCAAAGAAUUGAAGAUGUAAGCAACAGGCAAGUGUAAAUAUGAACUACAGAAUCUAAGUUUGGAUGAAGGAAUAUGAGAAUUUUAAGGAGUUGAGAAAAUGUUUGGCAUGAAAACGCCAUGUGACCACAGACUGAAGAUCCCAGACAAGUGGAUGAAUUGUGUGGGGAAGGAAAUAGCAGGAAUGUGUUAGAAAGAUAUGAAGGAUGGAUUGGAGAGUGGGGUGUUUCAAACUGAGAUUAUGCAGGGAGAGCUAUUACUAGUAAUGACAAAGUCUAGGAUUACCCCAUGGGAGUGAGCAGCUGAUAUAAAGUAGGGAAUGAGAUUCUAGUCAAAAAGGAGAACAAGGAACUAAAAAGUCAGGAGGUUAACAGGAUCAUCUGCAUGAAUACAGAAUCACCAAAAAUUGUGACAAAGUACUAAUGGAGUGAAUCAUGUGGUAAAAUCUUCAAGAAAUGAAGAAAAGUGAUCUGGGGGUUUGUUAGAUACAACAAGUCUGGGUAAUGGGCAAUCUCUUGGUAACAACUUCAAAAGAAAUCAGGGGUUUUGGAGGAGGACAGAAGGAAAAAAAGGUCUUAAAGAAACAAGAGGAAUCAGGAAAUAACAUUAUCUAAACUCCAGACCCAGUAGUUCGAAGGGCAUGAGAGAGAAAACCAACACUACUUGAAAAGACAACUCUUUAAGUCAUCUCUAGGGAGAGCCAGAAUGUAGCUGGAGAAAGAGGAGGAAGGCAAUAUUCUGAGAAGAGGUGAAGUAUGAAGCGGACAUCUCUGAUGACUGACUGUAUAUUCCAGAGGGCGAAGAAGAAGGGUUUGGGAUUGAGGAAGGUGGGAGAUGUGGGCUAGUUAAAGGAUAUUCCAAGAAUGAGCAUCCAUGUGAUGAGAUGACUUGAAUAUCUUGGGCUUCUUGUGUGACUGACAGAAAUCCAGAUAUCGGGCAUGGUGAGGUUAAUGCUGGAAUUUUCUAAGAGGGUGGUGGUGUCUUUCGUGCUGUGUGGGGAGGAAACCAUCUGGACAGGAGCACAUGUAACUAAUCGUGUCACUUCUUCAGUUGCAUCAAAAUACACUGAGGUCGGGAAUUGCUAGGAGCCCUGAACCAAGAUGGCAGAGUAGAAGGAUGUGCUCUCACUCCCUCUUGUGGGAACACCAGAAUCACAACUAGCUGCUGGACGA